rnacentral:rRNA from 1 species
UACGGUAGGGGCCGAGCGUUUGUCCGGAGUUUAUUGGGCGUAAAGCGCGCGCAGGCGGCUUCGCGCGCCCCGACGUGAAAGCCCCCCGGCUUAACCGGGGAGAGUCGUUGGGGACGGCGGAGCUUGAGGGCGGGAGAGGUCGGUGGAAUUCCCGGUGUAGUGGUGAAAUGACGUAGAGAUCGGGGAGGAACACCUGUGGCGAAGGCGGCCGACUGGGCCGACCCUGACGCUGAGG